rnacentral:lncRNA from 10 species
GAAGGACAUUCUAUAAUAUGCAAAGACAUGAUGAACCUGGAGGACAUCAAGCUAAGUGAAAUAAGCCAGUCACAGUAAGACCAAUACUGCAUUAUUCCACUCAUAUGAAGUAUCCAAAAUAGAUUCAUAGAAUCAAAGAAUGAAAUGGUGUUUGCCAGGGAAUAGCAGGAGGGGGGAAUAGAGAAUUUUGAAUCAACAGGCAUAAGGCUUCAGUCAAGCAAGAUGAAUGAGCCCUAGAGAUUUGCUGUACAACAUUGUACUUAGAGUCAACAAUACUGUACUGUCCAUUUAAAAAUUUGUUAAGCGGUAAGUCUCAUGUUAAGUGUUUUUACUACAAUAAAAUGAAAUAGUAAGAUAAAAUGUACCUGAGCUGAGACUUGCAGUCCUGUGUGAGGGACAGGAGUUUGCCCAAAGAGGAGAGUGAAGAUGGAGAGAAUGUCACAGACAGGCUGCAGCCUGCUUCGGGACCUAGAAGUGAGUAAACAGGCUCCCUACAGGGUAUGCAGACAGUUGGGCCUGGGGAGAGUGUGCCGGGAUGCUUUGAGGGCCAUUGGGAGGUGAGGCUGUAAGGCAAGCUGUGGCAGACCAUCACAAGCCCUUUAUAGACCUGCAAGACACUUCCAGGUUUAUGGUUUGCCUGAUAUGAGGGGCUACUGAAGAGUUUUACACAAGACACGUGAAGAAGUAUUUGUGACAUGAUAAAAUGUCGUUUCAGCCAUCUUAAAACUGCUCAAAGCUGAUGGUCUCCUCGCCUGCCUCCCGCGGCUUCCAUCACCAUGGAAGAGACUAUGGUCCUUGAGGUGGUAUAGAGUACUGAAGCAAGGCUGUCUUGAAGAAGAGGAGACAACCCAAGGCUACCUGAGCUCAUUGUCCCUGGAGAUGGACCAAAUAGAAGAACAAGCAGUGCCUGUGUGGUUUCAGUUCAUUCCCAAUGGUGCAGGUGGCUGUAGGAGGUCCAACUUGGCUGAAGAGGAGAAAGCCCAUUGGUAAGGUUCUCAUGUUCUUCUGUAGAUAGAGAUUAAGCCUUUUCCACAUCUAAAGGGCUUUGAAAUUGGCAGGAGGAUUGGAACCUCAAUCCUCAUUCCUGAGUAAUACUUCUAGGUUUCCAG